UUUAGACCAGAGCCCUAUUCCCUAUAUAGUGCACUACUUUAGACCAGAGCCCUAUUCCCUAUAUAGUGCACUACUUUAGACCAGCACUCAUAGGGCUCAAAAGUUGUGUUCUGUAUAGGGCAAGGGUUUCCAUCCCUGUUCCUGGAGAGAUACCGUCCUGUAGGUUUAAACUCCAACCCUGUUCCUGGAGAGAGACCCUCCUGUAGGUUUUAACUCCAACCCUGUUCCUGGAGAGAGACCCUCCUGUAGGUUUUAACUCCAACCCUGUUCCUGGAGAGAUACCCUCCUGUAGGUCCAGGGAAUAGGGUGCUAUUUGAGACUCAACCAGGUAACCAACAGUGAGGAAACCCUUCCCUUCCUCAUGUCUACCACCCUGUUGAUUUUCUCUCUGCCUCAUCUCAGAGUGCAUCUUGUGUUUGUCCCAAAAUGGCACCAAACUCCCUACAGAAGUAGUGUACUGCUUUUGACCAGGACUCAUAGGGCUCUGGUUAAAAGUAGUGUUCAAUAUAGGGAAUAGGGUGCCAUUUGGGAAGCAACCUUAGUGUUUACGAGGAGGGGUCAAGCCUUCCUCCGUCCAAUACAGGUGAGGGAAUGGAGGACAGACCAGUCAGUGUCGACGCUGUCUGUCUCUGAUUUAAUGGAAUGGUCAGUGUUUUUGCAUGCAGUUGGGGUGUGUGGGGCUACGUGAUUAAGACAUGUUUGGUUCACUAGAGAACAAGACCCCCCCCACACACACUGGCUGAUGUGGAGAGAAGACUCCACUGUGUUUGCAAUGCCACAGUCUCUCUCUUUCUCUCUCUUGUCAGUGUUGCCUGUCUUGUAUGGCAUGUCAGUGUGACAAUAUGUGUUCUAAAUGAACAGUAUUAACAAGCAAUAUCAGUAGGUCUGCCAGAACAAUUAUUGUCUGUGUCUGGCCCUGUAGACCCACAUACCAAGGCAAAGCUUUAAAAAAAAAAUUGGG
ensembl:lncRNA